UGCUGUGGAUCCUUCUGUUCUAUGACAGAUUUUGGUGAACCAGGUUCAGUGCAUCUUUAUCAACCUCUGGUGAUGCUUUUCUCCUUCAGCCUGCGAAGGCUUGAAGCAGCAGUGAACAUCCAUGGGCUGAAAACUACAACCUGGAGAUGGGCUACUGACUGGGAAGGGGCUGCUGUCCACUAUGGACAUCUCAUUGAAAACCCUCAUGGAGAUGGAGGGGGAGGUGGAAGUGGAGAUGGAGGGGGAGAUGGAGAUGGAGGUGGAGAUGGAGGGGGAGAUGGAGGGGGAGGUGGAGAUGGAGAUGGAGGUGGAGGUGGAGAUGGAGAUGGAGGUGGAGAUGGAAGUGAAGAUGGAGGUGGAGGUGGAGACUGAGUUUUUCUUCCACACUUAACUCACUGGUGAACUGGAUUGAACUGGAUCAAAAGAGAGGGAUGCCAUGGUUUUCUAGGAGGAGAUCUGCCUCACACCUCCAUGAUGUUACCUCCACUGGGUCAAGCAGCUCCCAGUAUGGACCUUUGUGAGCCCAGUUUGUGGUGCUGUCUCCACCCCUGGGGAGAAUGUUACCCCAGCCACGAGUGGUCCUAGCCUGGACAUGGUGGGAUGGGCUGGGUUAUCUCUCAGGGCCCUCACCCUGCUUUGAGCAAACCAGAAGACCUCAGGAAACGUGAAAACUUCCUCCGUCCUUCAUAUGUGCAUCUCUGCUGAGCAUUGUGCAGAACCCCUCAGCCCCCCCCCAGCCCUCCCUCGCAGGUGAGCUUUGGGCAUGCAGACCCCAUCCUGGACCCAGCGGUGCUCCGGUGCCAUUGGUCUCAUUGGUCCUCAGAUCAAUGGGG
rnacentral:lncRNA from 1 species